rnacentral:rRNA from 1 species
UGGAUCCAGACUUUGAUUCUGGCUCAGGAUGAACGCUAGCUACAGGCUUAACACAUGCAAGUCGAGGGGAAACGACAUCGAAAGCUUGCUUUUGAUGGGCGUCGACUGGCGCACGGGUGAGUAACGCGUAUCCAACCUGCCCACCACUUGGGGAUAACCUUGCGAAAGUAAGACUAAUACCCAAUGAUAUCUCUAGAAGGCAUCAGAAAGAGAUUAAAGAUUUAUCGGUGAUGGAUGGGGAUGCGUCUGAUUAGCUUGUUGGCGGGGUAACGGCCCACCAAGGCUACGAUCAGUAGGGGUUCUGAGAGGAAGGUCCCCCACAUUGGAACUGAGACACGGUCCAAACUCCUACGGGAGGCAGCAGUGAGGAAUAUUGGUCAAUGGGCGAGAGCCUGAACCAGCCAAGUAGCGUGCAGGACGACGGCCCUAUGGGUUGUAAACUGCUUUUAUAAGGGAAUAAAGUGAGUCUCGUGAGACUUUUUGCAUGUACCUUAUGAAUAAGGACCGGCUAAUUCCGUGCCAGCAGCCGCGGUAAUACGGAAGGUCCGGGCGUUAUCCGGAUUUAUUGGGUUUAAAGGGAGCGUAGGCCGGAGAUUAAGCGUGUUGUGAAAUGUAGAGGCUCAACCUCUGCACUGCAGCGCGAACUGGUCUUCUUGAGUACGCACAACGUGGGCGGAAUUCGUGGUGUAGCGGUGAAAUGCUUAGAUAUCACGAAGAACUCCGAUUGCGAAGGCAGCUCACGGGAGCGCAACUGACGCUGAAGCUCGAAAGUGCGGGUAUCGAACAGGAUUAGAUACCCUGGUAGUCCGCACGGUAAACGAUGGAUGCCCGCUGUUGGCCUGAAUAGGUC